UCGUUUAGGCCAUCAAUCUUUGUAGAGUUUAUAGAAGCUUGAUUCUCAUUUUUGUUCUAUUUCUAGUUUAAAGUGUGAGUCUCUCAGUUUGGAAAGCUUCACCAUGUAAGCUACUCUCCUAGAGUCAAUAAACAGUCUGCGAACCCUUUUACUUUGGUUCAUUCGGAUGUAUAGGAUCCUUGUCCCAUUAUUUCUAAGGUGGGUUUUAGAUACUUUGGUAUUUUUGUUGAUUUUUUUUUUUUUUUUGGAUGAAUAAAUAAUUCAGUACCAAGAGAGAAAGAAUAUACAAGGGGAAAAAAGGGGGG